rnacentral:rRNA from 1 species
AGUCACUGACAUUAGAUACCCCCGUAGUCCAGGGUGUAAACGCUGCAGACUUGGUGUUGGAAGCCCUUUGGGGGCAUUCAGUGCCGGAGAGAAGUUGUUAAGUCUGCUACUUGGGGAGUACGUCCGCAAGGAUGAAACUUAAAGGAAUUGGCGGGGGAGCACCGCAACGGGAGGAGCGUGCGGUUUAAUUGGAUUCAACACCGUAAAACUCACCAGGGAAGACUGUUACAUGAAAGCCGAGAUGAAGACUCUGCUAGAUUUUCAG